AUUUUGAAUCUGAGGGAAAUCGAUCGACUCUCUCUGUCUAAACCAUAAUCUCUCUCUGUCUAAACCAUAAUCUCUCUCAACCGAUUGAUUGUAAUGAUCUGAAAUGCUGGUGUGAAGAGGAGGUCUCGCAGUGCCUCCUCGAAGCUUCUCACUGUAACGAUCUGAAAACUACGUUUGAUUGUAUCUCUGAUUGGUUCGUCGAUGUCAACUUCGUUGGUGUUGUGUGCUUGACGGUUUGAAAGACAGAGUUAUCAGGUCGCGAUGAAUUGGCGAAUAAGGUUCACGUUGAGUAUGAAGAGUUCAAAACUGAUGUCACGGGGUUGUUCCUUUAUGUUCAUGCUGGAACUGUGACUCUCAUCAGGAAACUACUGGAUUCACAUUGGAAUUACCCAAGUAUUUAAGUGUUUCCUAUGCAACUAUGCAACGAUCAGAAAAUUGGUAAUGAGAUCACUUCUGAUGCCCAUCUACUUCCAGCAACUAAUGUCAAUUACAUAGAUGGUCUUGUUAUCUUUGCCUAUAUGAAUUCGACAAGUGAUCCACGAGGUCGUAUAACGGCUACAAUUAUAGAACUGAAAGAAAAAACCUGCUUCAAUCAUGGCCCUUUUCUCCUGAAGGGGUCCAAACAAAAUCACACCAGAGAUCCUUAAGGUUUCUGUCCAUAGGUGUUUUGACUUGUCUACCUUCAAAGGCCUUCUAUGCAAUUUUACUAAAAAUGCCUUUCAUGAUCAUCUUCUUCUAACCAAGGAUACUGCUGACAGUCCUCCACCCGAUGAACAUGUAAAAGAAGAGCACGAUGAGUGUGACCGUACUUUUGUGCUGAAAGAUGAUCUUGGUUAUGUUUGUCGAAUUUGCGGAGUGGUUUAGAGAGGAAUCGAAACCAUAAUUAAGUACCAGUACGCUAAGCAUUUUAGGAAAUGUUGGUGUGAUUCCGCCGAAGUGACUGGCGAUGGAUAUGUUUUGACUGGAGCAUGAAGGCGCCCUAGAUGUUACUUGUUGAAGCACCAAAGCUAAUUUGUGGUUUGGGAUUAAAUGUCUAUUUUUGUGUAAUCAAAGACUAUCCUUGAAAAUGUGUAUGCCAUUUGGGCGCUUUACUUUUGUAUUCUCUUACCCUCUGAAUGGUUAUUAUUCAUGACUGUAUGUUAAUGAACAAUGAUGUAUAUAUUUCACUUGGAAUAGUGCAAUGAUAAAGAUAUUAU